rnacentral:rRNA from 1 species
UACGGAGGGUGCGAGCGUUGUCCGGAAUCACUGGGCGUAAAGGGCGCGUAGGCGGCCUGAUAAGUAGGGGGGUGAAAUCCUGCGGCUUAACCGCAGGGGCUGCCUUCUAAACUGUCAGGCUCGAGCACAGUAGAGGCAGGUGGAAUUCCCGGUGUAGCGGUGGAAUGCGUAGAGAUCGGGAAGAACAUCAGUGGCGAAGGCGGCCUGCUGGGCUGUUGCUGACGCUGAGGCGCGACAGCGUGGGGGAGCAAACAGG